CUGGAUGAAUGGACUAUAAGGUGGCUAGAAAGCUGGCUAGAUCAUCGGCCUUAACAGGCAAACCAAGCCGCUGCUCUGAAACAAAAGCCUUUUGCCUGUGGUUGGGCAUAUUCCACUGCCUCUUCCAAAUAGCACCUCCACAGCCCCUAACUCGGCUCUCUUCAGCUGUCAGCAGAUGGAAAGCAAGCAGGGUGUGGAAACACGGAGUGGUAAGUUAUUGUGCGAGCCUGGCUGCGUUGCUGGAGGAUGAGGAGCAGAUAAAGUUCAGAGCUAUUUACAGGCACCUCUGCAGCUCCCUCUCCUCUCUGUCAUUUGAGAACAUUACUGGGGUAACUCCAGCAGGGGCCACAGUAGGAAAGCUGUGAAUUUGCUGCUGGGUGGAAGUAGGACAGGCAGAUUGAUGAUCCCUGGAGAACAGGGGCAGGUGUGCUGUGGACCAAGAGAGAUGCACCAAGGGGGCACAGGGUGAAUCCUCUUGGAGAGCUCUGGAAGCCGCUUCAAGGACAAGCACUGUCGCAGCUCCUGUCUUCCUGUGGCAGGUGUGAGCCCCGGGGCUCUCCCCUGCCUGCUCUGUUUGGGGGCCAGGAAGGCACUAGAAAUGGAAGGAAAGAGGGCUAUUUUCUCAAAGAAAAGCAAAGGGAGCAGGAUGAGUGGCACUUAAACCAUCUUUUCCUCUUGCUGUAAUGGGCUGCCCCCUCCCAGUUAAACAGAAGCAGUGAAUCCUCGGCCUUUAACAGCUUCCACCACUUUUAGAUCCUUUCCAGUCACAAGCAUAAACAUUUAUCCCCCCCUCACACUAAAGCUUGGGUGCCUGGCCCUCGCUCAUACAAAAGCUACUUUCAGACCCAAACAGGCCCCGGUUUCCUUGAACUGGGCUAGCAGGGAAUGUGGUGGUCUCAGGUACAUGCAUUACUCCAAUCUCUUUCCAACUGGGCAACUGCUAUAGAGAACAGGGGAGGCAACAAUGGUGCGAGUCUUCACUUACCGCUUCUGUUUGGGUCAAGGAUACCCGGGUAAGUGCUCUGCAGGAGAUCCGUCUAAGGAAGACACUGGGCCUGAAAUUCAUGACAACAGCCUGGCUUGGAGGGGUCGGAUUUGCUCUUGGAGGAGGGGAAGCAUUCUAUUUAGAUUGAGCGUUUCGGGGCCUGCGUUCAACAACAACCGUGCUGCAGUCUGGGGGUGAAGGAUGGAUAUAGAACCCCACACAAGUACUGUGGUGCAGAUCAGUACAAAUAAGGAGAAAUGGUGAGGUGAAAGGUUAGUGGGGGACAGACUGCUUCACAAGUUGAGAGAGGUUUGAGCUUUUUUAAAAGAAAAAAUGCUGUGGCGUAUCAUGUUACUUCAAACUUUUCCUUGGAUAGGACCAUUGCCAGAGACGCUGUGUUUCACCCAAAUACAGUAUCUUUAGACGAAGGAGUGAAAAGCUUUCCUUGGGUCAAAGUCAAAUAAAUCCUUCGCAUGAGGUCAGUUUGGGGCUCCUGUCAGCCAACCAAAGCAGAGCACAGCUUAGUGCUUUCCCAAGUAAGCUCUCUCUCCCUGAUGGGACCAGACAACACCCUUCAUCCUAAAGUACAUUUAUAGCCACACCCAAGGUUAUGGCAUUGCACUUUGGCUGCACUGUCACACUGAAGGCAGCCUCAAUUCUAGUCACUCUUUUGGGACCAACUGGAGAUUGGACAGUGAGUCCGAGGCUGAACAACUGUCAAAUGAGCACAGAUUAACAGGACCCCCUCCCCAAAUCAUAAAACCCAUCGCUGUUAAGGUGACAUGUGAAAGCUGGCAGAUGUGAG